AUGCAGCGAGCAGAGGAGGCCGAGGUGGAUGAACCGGCCCAUGUCGAACAUGGCGUGCGCGCCAUCCGGCAGCUUACGGUCACCGGCUUUGAGCAGCUUUCCGUCGUCGGACAGCCGGCGUACCCAAUCCAGCAUGAAGAUUUGGUCGUCGGGGUACGCCAGAUCGACCGCCCGGCGUCCGGUGGCUACCUCCAGGAGCACAAUCCCGAAGCUGAACACGUCGGACUUGGCCGUGGCCGCGCCCCUGCGCUGGAAACUCUCCGGAGGGAGGUACCCGAUGGUGCCGCCGAUCCUGCUCGUGUCGAUCAGCCGGAACUGGUAGUUGGCCGACGAGGAAAACGACGACGUCGACCGCACGGAAGGCGGCGACGGCAGCAGCUCGAGCUUCUUCGUGGGCGGCGCGUCCUCGACGGCGUGCUCGAGCCAGCGGGCGAGGCCGAAGUCCCCCAGGCGGGCGUUGUACUCCGAAUCAAGCAUGACGUUGCUGGUCUUGACGUCCCGGUGGAUGAUCUGCGUGUCGAGCUGCUCGUGCAGGUAGAGCAGCGCGGCGGCGAGGCCGGCGACGAUGCGGCGCCGCCGGUCCCAGCCGAGCGCGGGAGCGCCCGGGGCAGCCGAGGCCGGCGCGAAGAGGAGGCGGUCGAGGCUACGGUUGGGCAUGUAGUCGUACACGAGCAGCAGCUCCUCCUCGUCCCGGACGCACCACCCGCGGAGGCGCACGAGGUUGCGGUGCCGCAGCCGGGCAACGGCGGCCAGCUCCGCCAAGAACGACUUCUCGAAGCGGUCGACGCCGACGCUGGCGACGCACUUGACGGCCACCGUGGUGCCAUCGCUGGGCAGCACGGCGCGGUACACCCGCCCGAACCCCCCGCUGCCGAGCACCUCGUGCUCGCUGAAGCCGCUGGUGCCGAUGUAGAGCUCCGAGUAGCUGAACACCCUGGGCCCCGCCGCGCCUCUGAUCUUCCUCGCCCCGACCUCGUACACGCCGUCCAUGUCCUCGAAGUCCGCCGCCGACCGGGAGUCGCGGCACCCGCAGCGGAGGCAGGACAGCGCGCGGCCGACCUUCUCGCGGACGUACGAGCCCAGCUUCUCCCCGGGGCGCCGUCGGGCGUCGUCGUCGUGGUCGUCGUCAGCGGAGGCCACGAGGACCUCGUCCCCGUCCAUGGGCAGCACGAAGCACAGCCGGCGGAGCGACAUGGACGCGUUGGGCGGAAGAUGUUACGUGCGUGUCAGGGGGUGUUUAGCCGGGCAUAA
rnacentral:rRNA from 1 species